UAAUCCAUUAUGCCUAUCACAUAACUCGUUGGCUUAUGAACUUUCCUUCACUUUCGUUGGUGUAUAGCCAAAACGACAUAGCAACCUUAGAGAAGGAAAGAUAGUCAAGAUAAGAUAGCAACGUCAUUGUUAAUAAAUAAUUACUGGUAUGGAUGGAGAUACUGACACACUACUCGUUAAGGUCGAACCAAAACAAGAAGAUGAAAUCCAUUCCUUCCUUCAGGGACACAUUUCAGUAAGCAACGAAGUUUUCGUAAAAAUAAAGGACGAAACUACCAUCACUACAUCGUGUUCUACAUCUCUUUGUAAUGAAGAACAGCAACACCUUUUAACUCCGGGUAAAAUCGUGACUAAAGAUUUUAAGUGUACCCAUUGUGAUUACGGGACAAAUGUUAAACGCAAUCUCACACGACACCUUUUACAGCAUAAAGUUUUUAAAGAUUUUAAAUGUGCAACUUGUGUCAAAUGUUAAAGGCUGCUUCAAACGACAUCUUUUAAAACAUAAGGUUUCUAAAGAUUUUAAA